GUUCUUGUGGCCUAGUGGUUAGGGCGUCUGUUUUACAUGUCCGCGUGAUUUUGAUCACAGAAGAUCCCCGGUUCGAUCCCGGGCGAGAACA